AGCAGAUUGGGCCAGACACAACAUUAGUGUCCCAGGGCUUGGACUGGAGUCAAAUAACUGGUCUGCCUUCCCCAAAGGGUGAUUAUUCUGCCUGCAGACCUCCUGGCAACUCGGGAGCAUCACUGACACGGUGGCCGGCCCUGGGACAGCCUUCACCCGGGAGACUCUGUGACAGAUACUCCCUGGGGUCUGUGUGCUGGGACAGGGAAAAGGAACUGGAGAAAAGAAACACGUUUGUCUUCUCUCAGCCAACACUGGUUCUCCUGCCUGCACGGUGAGCUCCAAAUGACUCCGUUUGAGACUUUUUUGAGGGACACUUGCCCUUGGAACCCAGCCACCAUGUUGUAAGGAGGUCGAGGCCAUGUGCAGAGGCUGCAUCCGGGCAUUCCAUCUGACAACUCUCACCAGGCUCCAGGCAGCCGCUAGCAUUAAUUGCCAGACACAUGAAGAAAUUGAGACCUAAGAAAAUUAAGAGCCAAGUUCAAGACCACAUAACUAACAAUCUCAGUUCUGCCCAAGUGAGCGUGCUCUCUACCUGGCUAACUCCGGCCCCAGCAGAGAAGGCGGUCUUUGGCGCUGGCUGCUCUCCGACAUGGCCCACGUGAUGCAUUCAACAGAGGACGUGCUCAAAAGAUAU